rnacentral:rRNA from 1 species
UUGAAAGGCGCAAACAAGCGCCGCUGAGGGAUGGGCCUGCGUCCGAUUAGCUUGUUGGUGGGUAACGGCCCACCAAGGCGACGAUCGGUAGCCCGGUCUGAGAGGAUGAACGGCCACAUUGGGACUGAGACACGGCCCAGACUCCUACGGGAGGCAGCAGUGGGGAAUCUUCCGCAAUGGGCGAAAGCCUGACGGAGCAACGCCGCGUGAGUGAAGAAGUUCUUCGGAACGUAAAGCUCUGUUGUUCACGACGAACGGGGACCAGGAAAUGGGUCGCCAGUGACGGUAGUGAACGAGGAAGCCACGGCUAACUACGUGCC